rnacentral:snRNA from 1 species
AAGUGUUACAGCUCUUUUAGAAUUUGUCCAGCAGGUUUUCCAGUUUUAACCGCAAAAAGAAA